GGUUAAGCGAAUAAGCGUACACGGUGGAUGCCUAGGCAGUCAGAGGCGAUGAAGGACGUGCUAAUCUGCGAUAAGCGCCGGUAAGGUGAUAUGAACCGUUAUAACCGGCGAUUUCCGAAUGGGGAAACCCAGUGCAAUUCGUUGCACUAUCAUUACCUGAAUACAUAGGGUAAUGAAGCGAACCGGGAGAACUGAAACAUCUAAGUACCCCGAGGAAAAGAAAUCAAACGAGAUUCCCCCAGUAGCGGCGAGCGAACGGGGAGCAGCCCAGGACCUUAAUCAGCAUCAGUGUUAAGAGAACAGUCUGGAAAGGCUGGCCACAGCAGGUGAUAGCCCUGUAUCUGAAAGCACUGGUGUUGUGAGUCCGAUGAGUAAGGCGGGACACGUGUUAUCCUGUCUGAAUACGGGGGGACCAUCCUCCAAGGCUAAAUACUCCUGACUGACCGAUAGUGAACCAGUACCGUGAGGGAAAGGCGAAAAGAACCCCGGCGAGGGGAGUGAAAAAGAACCUGAAACCGUGUACGUACAAGCAGUGGGAGCACCCUUCGGGGUGUGACUGCGUACCUUUUGUAUAAUGGGUCAGCGACUUAUAUUCUGUAGCAAGGUUAACCGAAUAGGGGAGCCGCAGGGAAACCGAGUCUUAACUGGGCGAAUUAGUUGCAGGGUAUAGACCCGAAACCCGGUGAUCUAGCCAUGGGCAGGUUGAAGGUUGGGUAACACUAACUGGAGGACCGAACCGACUAAUGUUGAAAAAUUAGCGGAUGACUUGUGGCUGGGGGUGAAAGGCCAAUCAAACCGGGAGAUAGCUGGUUCUCCCCGAAAGCUAUUUAGGUAGCGCCUCGUGAAUUCAUCUCCGGGGGUAGAGCACUGUUUCGGCUAGGGGGUCAUCCCGACUUACCAACCCGAUGCAAACUGCGAAUACCGGAGAAUGUUAUCACGGGAGACACACGGCGGGUGCUAACGUUCGUCGUGAAGAGGGAAACAACCCAGACCGCCGGCUAAGGUCCCAAAGUCAUAAUUAAGUGGGAAACGAAGUGGGAAGGCUCAGACAGCCAGGAUGUUGGCUUAGAAGCAGCCAUCAUUUAAAGAAAGCGUAAUAGCUCACUGGUCGAGUCGGCCUGCGCGGAAGAUGUAACGGGGCUAAAUUAUGCACCGAAGCCGCGGCAGCGAUAUGUAAAUAUUGUUGGGUAGGGGAGCGUUCUGUAAGCCUGUGAAGGUGUGCUGUGAGGCAUGCUGGAGGUAUCAGAAGUGCGAAUGCUGACAUAAGUAACGAUAAUGCGGGUGAAAAACCCGCACGCCGGAAGACCAAGGGUUCCUGUCCAACGUUAAUCGGGGCAGGGUGAGUCGACCCCUAAGGCGAGGCUGAAAAGCGUAGUCGAUGGGCAACGGGUUAAUAUUCCCGUACUGGUGGUAACUGCGAAGGGGGGACGGAGAAAGCUAAAUCAUCCGGGCGACGGUUGUCCCGGUUUAAGCGUGCAGGUGGACUGACCAGGCAAAUCCGGUCGGUUGUUAACACUGAGGCGUGACGACGAGCCACUACGGUGGUGAAGUGAUUGAUGCUCUGCUUCCGGGAAAAGCCUCUAAGCUCCAGGUUACCAUUAAUCGUACCCCAAACCGACACAGGUGGUCAGGUAGAGAAUACUCAGGCGCUUGAGAGAACUCGGGUGAAGGAACUAGGCAAAAUGGUGCCGUAACUUCGGGAGAAGGCACGCUGGCAUUAGGUGAAGUGGUUUACCCACGGAGCUGAAGCCAGCCGCAGAUACCAGCUGGCUGCAACUGUUUAUUAAAAACACAGCACUGUGCAAACACGAAAGUGGACGUAUACGGUGUGACGCCUGCCCGGUGCCGGAAGGUUAAUUGAUGAGGUCAGCCGCAAGGCGAAGCUUCUGAUCGAAGCCCCGGUAAACGGCGGCCGUAACUAUAACGGUCCUAAGGUAGCGAAAUUCCUUGUCGGGUAAGUUCCGACCUGCACGAAUGGCGUAAUGAUGGCCAGGCUGUCUCCACCCGAGACUCAGUGAAAUUGAACUCGCUGUGAAGAUGCAGUGUACCCGCGGCAAGACGGAAAGACCCCGUGAACCUUUACUAUAGCUUGACACUGAACAUUGAGCCUUGAUGUGUAGGAUAGGUGGGAGGCAACGAAGUGUGGACGCCAGUCUGCACGGAGCCAUCCUUGAAAUACCACCCUUUAACGUUUGAUGUUCUAACCCGGGUCCAUAAUCUGGAUCGGGGACCGUGUCUGGUGGGUAGUUUGACUGGGGCGGUCUCCUCCCAAAGAGUAACGGAGGAGCACGAAGGUUGGCUAAGCAUGGUCGGACAUCAUGCGGUUAGUGCAAAGGCAUAAGCCAGCUUGACUGCGAGAGUGACGGCUCGAGCAGGUACGAAAGUAGGUCUUAGUGAUCCGGUGGUUCUGAAUGGAAGGGCCAUCGCUCAACGGAUAAAAGGUACUCCGGGGAUAACAGGCUGAUACCGCCCAAGAGUUCAUAUCGACGGCGGUGUUUGGCACCUCGAUGUCGGCUCAUCACAUCCUGGGGCUGAAGUAGGUCCCAAGGGUAUGGCUGUUCGCCAUUUAAAGUGGUACGCGAGCUGGGUUUAGAACGUCGUGAGACAGUUCGGUCCCUAUCUGCCGUGGGCGCUGGAGAACUGAGGGGGGCUGCUCCUAGUACGAGAGGACCGGAGUGGACGCAUCACUGGUGUUCGGGUUGUCAUGCCAAUGGCACUGCCCGGUAGCUAAAUGCGGAAGAGAUAAGUGCUGAAAGCAUCUAAGCACGAAACUUGCCCCGAGAUGAGUUCUCCCUGACCCUUUAAGGGUCCUGAAGGAACGUUGAAGACGACGACGUUGAUAGGCCGGGUGUGUAAGCGCAGCGAUGCGUUGAGCUAACCGGUACUAAUGAACCGUGAGGCUUAACCUU
rnacentral:rRNA from 1 species